rnacentral:rRNA from 1 species
AACGAACGCUGGCGGCAGGCUUAACACAUGCAAGUCGAGCGCCCCGCAAGGGGAGCGGCAGACGGGUGAGUAACGCGUGGGAAUCUACCGUGCCCUACGGAAUAGCUCCGGGAAACUGGAAUUAAUACCGUAUACGCCCUACGGGGGAAAGAUUUAUCGGGGUAUGAUGGGCCCGCGUUGGAUUAGCUAGUUGGUGGGGUAAAGGCCUACAAAGGGGACGAUCCAUAGCUGGUCUGAGAGGAUGAUCAGCCACAUUGGGACUGAGACACGGCCCAAACUCCUACGGGAGGCAGCAGUGGGGAAUAUUGGACAAUGGGCGCAAGCCUGAUCCAGCCAUGCCGCGUGAGUGAUGAAGGUCUUAGGAUUGUAAAGCUCUUUCACCGGUGAAGAUAAUGACGGUAACCGGAGAAGAAGCCCCGGCUAACUUCGUGCCAGCCGCCGCAGUAACAC